rnacentral:rRNA from 1 species
GAUGAACGCUAGCGGCAGGCCUAAUACAUGCAAGUCGUACGGCAACACAGUUGCGAGCAAUCGCAACCGGUGGCGAGUGGCGCACGGGUGAGUAACGCGUAUGUAACCUACCCUUCUCCGGGACAUAACUCCGCGAAAGCGGUGCUAAUAUCCCAUACCAACUCAUCAAGACAUCUUCUUGAGUUGAAAGCAGCAAUGCGGUGAAGGAUGGGCAUGCGUCCCAUUAGCUGGUUGGUGAGGUAAUGGCCCACCAAGGCUACGAUGGGUAGGGGUUCUGAGAGGAAAGCCCCCCACACUGGUACUGAGACACGGACCAGACUCCUACGGGAGGCAGCAGUAAGGAAUAUUGGGCAAUGGUCGAAAGACUGACCCAGCCAUGCCGCGUGCAGGGUGAAGGCCCUAUGGGUUGUAAACUGCUUUUAGCCGGGAAUAAACACCCGUUUUAUAACGGGCCCGAGGUACCGGCUGAAUAAGCAUCGGCUAACUCCGUGCCAGCAGCCGAC